GCACAGGAGAAGCAUCUGAUGACAUCAAUAAUCCUGACUUUGUCCCGUCUAGCUUUUCUUAUUCAUCCCAGUCAGACAAGGAAGGCGAUGCCAAAUUGGAGCGAUAUAAGAGAAAAAGACAAAGAGAUGAAGCCUCCAGAAGAUGUCCACACAAUGAUCAAUCUACACCUAUUUCCCCAGCAAAUGAUAGUGGAAUGGACCCUGAUCAAUCUACGCCCACUCCACCUGUGAAUGACUGUGAAAUAGAGCCAAAUGCUGAUCUUCGUAAUGAAGCUACAGUCCCAAAGGCCAACCAUGAGGACCUCAAACAGAAAUACCACCAACUGAAUAUCGAGUGUGACAACCUGUGUGCAGAAAACAAGCUUUCCUCUAUGUAAAGUAUAAAUGGCUAGUGUAGUAAAUUGUAAACAAUGGCCAAAAUUUUGAGAACAAAUUUAUUGACACAUCAUGCCUGAUUAUGUUUUUUUUAAAUGAAUUUUUAUGGCAUCUAACUUAACAGGUAUAUAACAAACAUAGGCACUCAGUAACCAGUGAAAAGUAAAAGUACAGGCAUCAAAUUAAAAUUUCACUGUUUUGCAUACUUUCUACUUCACUACAUUUACUUUGAAUAUUAUUAAUCUGGUAAGAAAGUCUUCAUAAAAUUUACCUAAGUGUAAGUUCUUAAAGUUUGUACUUUUUAUCUGUGCUUUUACUUUACUUUCCACCUCUCCCAAUAAGAAUGACAGUCAGUUAUUCAGAUAUGUUUUUAUUUCUUACUGUUUUAUAUGUUGAACCUAAGUGCAAACUUUCAAUAGUUAAACAGGAACUGGUCCUAUAAAUAAAGAUUGUUUAAGUGCAUACUCCAGCUCUUUUCACUUACACUUAGCACAAUACCAUUGUUUCACCUUUCUUUUUACCUUUGCACAUUCAUAGUGGAAAUGCUUAUUGCACUUUGCACAGGUAAUGAUCUUUCCAAAUUCUGGUCUUUCACAGUGAGGGCAGACCAUCGGUGCUUGUUGUUGCUGGUCCAUGCUGUGCGUUAACAGCUCAGGCAGAAUAUUUUGUUUAAAGAACUGUUCAGCAAUAGGGAGGGCUGUGGAAAGGAAUGGAUCAUCUCUGGCAACACGAGUGAUGAUUAGAUCUUGCUGUGUCCACAUCACAAAGUCACAGUACUGUACCUCACAUACAAACAUGUCAAGUUGUACUUGAUGGUAGUACUUGUGGUUCUUUUUGAGACAGAAUGAUUGGUCUAAGCAAAAAUCACCGCUUCCUGUCAGACCAUCACGAUAUCUGUAUGGGCACUUGAUCUCUACAGUUCCUCUACCGCAGCAACCACAGUUCAGCACUCCAUCUGGUGAUGCUCCAAGAUGUGGAUGGUCUGGAUGGACAACGAGACCACAGAGUUCAACAUUAAAGUUGUGAUGAUGUGCUUUCAUUGCCUCAGCAUAACAUUUUCUUGCAGUGCAUUCAUUGUUUCUUCCCCACUUUAUUGCAUUUACAUGAGAUAAGUCUUUGUUGUCAUAUUGCAUCAUCUGUUUGAGUAAGUUGGUUUUAGCUGUUUCAGUUUUAACAGUACAAACACGAUAUAGGGUGGUGCUAGUAAUUCGUCCUAAU